rnacentral:rRNA from 1 species
UAUAAAGUAGGCGAACGGCUGAGUAACAACGUGGGCGAACCUGCCCUUUGCACUGGGAUAGCCUCGGGAAACCGAGGUUAAUACCGGAUACUCCAUAUUUGUCGCAUGGCGGAAAUAUGGGAAAAGGCUCCGGCGGCAAAGGAUGGGCCCGCGGCCUGUUAGCUAGUUGGUGGGGUAGUGGCCUACCAAGGCAAUGAUGGGUAGCCGGGUUGAGAGACCGACCGGCCAGAUUGGGACUGAGACACGGCCCAGACUCCUACGGGAGGCAGCAGGA